rnacentral:rRNA from 1 species
AGCGCUACGACUUCGGUCGGGGAGCGGCGAAUGGGUUAGUAACACGUAGGAACAUACCCCACUCACAGGGACAACUCCGAGAAAUCGGAGCUAAUACCUGAUGUUCCCGAAAGGGCAAAGGUUUAGAGCAAUCUAUUCCGGAAUGGGAAUGGCCUGCGGCCUAUCAGCUUGUUGGUGAGAUAAUAGCUCACCAAGGCUAUGACGGGUAGGCGGUGUGAGAGCAUGACCGCCAACAGGGGAACUGCGACAUGGCCCUCACUCCUACGGGAGGCAGCAGUCGAGAAUCUUCCACAAUGGGCGAAAGCCUGAUGGAGCGACAUCGCGUGCAGGAUGAAGGCCUUCGGGUCGUAAACUGCUUUUAGGGAGGAAGAAGUCCAACUUCGGUUGGAUUGACGGUACUCCCAGAAUAAGGGGCCGCUAAACUCGUGCCAGCAGCGGCGGUAAUACGAGUGCCCCGAGCGUUAUCCGGAAUUAUUGGGCGUAAAGGGUCCGUAGGCGGCCUUGUUAGUCUUUCGUUAAAUUUCAGGGCUCAACCCUGAAACCGCGGAGGAAACGGCAAGGCUCGAGAGCGUGAGAGGUUAGAGGAACUCAUGGUGUAGGGGUGACAUCCGUUGAUAUCAUGGGGAACACCAAAGGCGAAGGCAUCUAACUGGCGCGACUUUGACGCUGAGGGACGAAAGCGUGGGUAUCGAAUGGGAUUAGAUACCCCAGUAGUCCACGCUGUAAAUGAUGGAGACUAGCUGUCUGAAGUGUCGACCCUUCAGGUGGCGUAGCUAACGCGUUAAGUCUCCCGCCUGGGAAGUACGAGCGCAAGCUUAAAACUCAAAGGAAUAGACGGGGAUUCGCACAGGUAGAGGACCAUGUGGUUCAAUUCGACAGUAAGCGAAGAACCUUACCAGGGCUUGAAGCCCAAGUGAAACCCUGCCGAAAGGCGGGGAUAUCUUCACAGACACUUGGACAGGUGGUGCACGGCUGUUGUCAGCAUGUGGCGUGAGCUGCUCCCUUAAAUGGGGUAACAUGCGCAACCCUUGCUGUCUGUUAUAUGUAUCAGGCAGGACUGCCCGCGUUUAGUGGGAGGAAGGUGAGGACGACACCAAGUCAGCGUGCCCCUUUGAUGCCCUGGGCGACACACGUGGUACAAUGGGCGGUACAAUGCGUUGCGAAAUCGUAAGGUGGAGCCAAUCGCAUCAAAACCGUCCUCAGUUCGGAUCGAGGUCUGCAACUCGACCUCGUGAAGCCGGAUUUACUAGUAAUCGCAGGUCAGCCAUACUGCGGUGAAUACGUUCCCGAAUCUUGUACUCACCGCCCGUCACAUCAGGGAAGCCGGUAGUACCCGAAGUC